AAUAAUGUUAAAGCUUAGCAGCAAAGUUUUUUAAAGUGUGGAAAUAAAGCUUCUGGCACCCAUUAAGCUACCGCGGAAGUACUGACAUGAACUUCUCUUACAGGUCAUAAUUUACAUGAAGUUGUGUUCUCCGGAGCUGAAUUAGCUUCUGCUCUAAAUGGUGAGCUGAUGGUAUUGAAAACUGUUUUUUUGGCAUCAAUUCCAUAAGGAAUCCAAUAAGUCUGGUACUUUUAACCAUUUCACUAUAAAUAUUUUCACCUUUUAACAAAGGAAAAUGACAAAACCUUUUUUCACUUGUUGGCCUGGAGAAAUUGGAAAUUCUUCACUAGAAAUAUUAGUCACAAGGUCAUAGUCAAUGUGGCCAUGUGGCCCGCGGGCUGUAAUUUGCCCACCCCUGCAGUAGAAGGAACUUUUAGUUGCUCCAUUUUACUAAGCCUGUAAUGAAGUAUUCAGUUAAAAAUAAUAAAGGUUCUGAGUAUACUGUACAUUUUGUGAUACACAUUAAGAUUUUAUAUAGCCUCUUAACCUACAUACAUAUAGAAAUACAUAUCAAUACGGAAUUGCACUUUUGUUUUUAUACUCAAAUUUUUUAUUGCAUUAUAUAACUUUAUAUAUUGUGAGGUCAGGUACCAAUAGAUGCACAUCAUAUCAGAUGUUACUUGUUGACCAGUUCCUGGAUCAUAUGAUAAUGCUAGAGCUGAAUAUGACAUCUGUUCCACCCCUGAAGUCAAGCACUUUAUCACUAGGAAACCAUGCCCCCCUGACAAUAAAGAUUUGUGCAGACUCCAUCCUGUGGGUCAGCUCAUGAACAGAAUGAUACACACAAAAUGUCAGGAGGCAGGAUUGGUGAAGUGGGAAAUUCUCCAACCUGACUUGAUAAUUACUGAUGCAUUAAUCUUCUAUAAAUAUCUUUGUAUCAUAAAUAGACCUACAGUUCAGAAGCCAAGUGCUUAACUUCUCAGCCAGUAACCCAAAUGUUCAGUGUAAAAGCCAUACUGACAAGAUAGAGAACAAUUAUGGAUAAUGAAAUUCAUCAAUCAAUUGAACUGUAAUUUCCAUAAUUGACAUGUUGGUUAUAAAUGUAUCAGUAGUAUUGUCUAAAGAUAUUCCAUUGAUAACAACCAAUCUUUUGUUUGUCAGUUAGUAUGUUUCAUG
rnacentral:sRNA from 1 species